GAUGAACGCUGGCGGCGUGCCUAAUACAUGCGAGUCGAGCGAACAGACGAGGAGCUUGCUCCUCUGACGUUAGCGGCGGACGGGUGAGUAACACGUGGAUAACCUACCUAUAAGACUGGGAUAACUUCGGGAAACCGGAGCUAAUACCGGAUAAUAUAUUGAACCGCAUGGUUCAAUAGUGAAAGACGGUUUUGCUGUCACUUAUAGAUGGAUCCGCGCCGCAUUAGCUAGUUGGUAAGGUAACGGCUUACCAAGGCGACGAUGCGUAGCCGACCUGAGAGGGUGAUCGGCCACACUGGAACUGAGACACGGUCCAGACUCCUACGGGAGGCAGCAGUAGGGAAUCUUCCGCAAUGGGCGAAAGCCUGACGGAGCAACGCCGCGUGAGUGAUGAAGGUCUUCGGAUCGUAAAACUCUGUUAUUAGGGAAGAACAAAUGUGUAAGUAACUAUGCACGUCUUGACGGUACCUAAUCACAAAGCCACGGCUAACUACGUG
rnacentral:rRNA from 1 species